GUGAGGAAUAUUGGUCAAUGGGCGAGAGCCUGAACCAGCCAAAUCGCGUGAAGGAUGAAGGUAUUAUGUAUUGUAAACUUCUUUUAUCGGGGAAUAAAGUGCGGGACGUGUCCCGUUUUGUAUGUACCCGAAGAAUAAGGAUCGGCUAACUCCGUGCCAGCAGCCGCGGUAAUACGGAGGAUCCAAGCGUUAUCCGGAUUUAUUGGGUUUAAAGGGUGCGUAGGCGGACUGUCAAGUCAGCGGUGAAAGUCCAUGGCUCAACCAUGGAAUUGCCGUUGAAACUGUCGGUCUUGAGUGUAGAUGAGGUAGGCGGAAUUCGUAGUGUAGCGGUGAAAUGCUUAGAUAUUACGAAGAACUCCAAUUGCGUAGGCAGCUUACCAGGCUACAACUGACGCUGAGGCACGAAGGUGCGGGGAUCAAACAGGAUUAGAUACCCUUGUAGUCC
rnacentral:rRNA from 1 species